UCUGUUAGAAAAGGCCAUACAUGAGAAAACUAACACAGGCUUGCUGUGAGAACUCAGGAAAACAAUAUAUGUGAACAUACUUUGUUCUGUAUUCUAGCAAUCAGAAACUUCUUGGUGGCAUUCAGAGACCGUAAUUCCCAGCCCCCAUUUUUAUGAGGUCAGUUGCGUUACUCAUCUGGCCAAUGGGGUAUAAGCAGAAGCUGUAUAUGUAUGGUUUCCAGAACAAAGUACUUAGUUCCAGAUUAAGAUACUAAGGCAUAAAUGCUAAGCCCACUGCCCAAAGACAUGCAAUAGUAAAUGACAGGGUUGAGUUUGAACCCAAGCCUUCUGGCCUCAGAGUCAAUGCUCUGAGUUCUUCAACCAUAGCCUCUUUGAGGCCUUCAGAAUCACUAGGCAAGAAUGUUACAAAGAAUGUCCAUGCUCCAUCUGGCUGGGUGGAAGAAUGAUCAGA